GACGGAGGGCGCGGGUGUUAUUCGUUUUGAUUGGGCGUAAAGGGUGUGUAGGUGGUUUCUUGUCAUUUGGCUAAAAACGCGGAGUGUUCCUACGCGGUAGCCUUUGAAAAUAGAAGCUUGAGUUGAUUAUAGGUUGGGGCAAAUUCUUAUGUAGGGGUAAAAUCUUGCCAGAUAAGAAUGAACGCCAGACGGUGAAGACGCCUUUCCAGUUUCAACUGACGCUGAGGCACGGAA
rnacentral:rRNA from 1 species